GACGAACGCUGGCGGCGUGCUUAACACAUGCAAGUCGAACGCUGAAGCUCAGCUUUUGUUGGGUGGAUGAGUGGCGAACGGGUGAGUAACACGUGAGUAACCUGCCCCCUUCUUUGGGAUAACGCCCGGAAACGGGUGCUAAUACUGGAUAUUCACUGGUCUUCGCAUGGGGGUUGGUGGAAAGGGUUUUUCUGGUGGGGGAUGGGCUCGCGGCCUAUCAGCUUGUUGGUGGGGUGAUGGCCUACCAAGGCUUUGACGGUUAGCCGGCCUGAGAGGGUGACCGGUCACAUUGGGACUGAGAUACGGCCCAGACUCCUACGGGAGGCAGCAGUGGGGAAUAUUGCACAAUGGGCGCAAGCCUGAUGCAGCGACGCCGCGUGAGGGAUGGAGGCCUUCGGGUUGUGAACCUCUUUCGCUCAUGGUCAAGCCGCAACAAUGGUUGUGGUGAGGGUAGUGGGUAAAGAAGCGCCGGCUAACUACGUG
rnacentral:rRNA from 1 species